rnacentral:tRNA from 1 species
UCCCUGGCAGUCCAGUGGUUAGGACAUUGCGCUUCCAAUGCAGGGGGUGUGGGUUCGAUCCCUGGUCAGAGAA